rnacentral:lncRNA from 1 species
CUCCAAGCUUCCAAGCUUUUAAAUGCUCAAGUGUCAUAACUUUCCAAAGCUUCAAAAACUCUCCAACUUCUUCUUCUAAUCUUCUUGUUCAUCUCUACAAGUAAGAAGUGUUGUUUGCUUAAAUAUUCCACUCCUCUAAUCACCUCUUGUGUGUGUCCACUUUGGUUGAGAGGGUUGUCUCAAUAGUACCAAAGUGUGAGAGAAGGUUUUUGAGCUCAACCAUAAAACUCUAGUUUGGUUUUAUAGAGUUUCCGGGAAAACUCUUAGGUCGAAUCUACCUUGAAAGAUUUCUAGGUUUUUAAGAGUUCCUUGAUACUCUAAUGCACUAACUUACCCGUAAAAGUUAGAGGUUCUUAAGAGUGCCCUCAAUACUCUAAGGUGUGAGUCUACCCGUAAAAGACUGGUUCCUAAGCGAAGUAGCCUUAAAGCUUAGAGAGGUUUUUAAGAGUUCCUUGAUACUCUAAGGUACUAACUUACCCGCAAAAGUUAGAGGUUCUUAAGAGUGCCCUUGAUACUCUAAGGUGUGAGUCUACCCGUAAAAGACUAGUUCCUAAGCGAAGUUAGCUUUAAAGCUUAAAGAGGUUCUUAAGAGUUUCAUUGAUACUCUAAGGUUUUGCCAUAACCUUUAGGCUAGUGAAUUCUGAUAGUUGGUCGGGACUGGAUUAGCCCUUGUUUGGAUGAACCAGUAUAAACUCUCUUAUGUUGUUCUUUGUUAACUUUAGUUUUUAUCUUUCAUCUAAAAACAACUAAACAACACUUAAUUGAAAAUGAUCCCUCUUCCAGUUAUCUGGUCAAAUACAGAGGUUGACUACUUUACGCAGAUCCCUCAUCCAGUUAUCUGGUCAACUGUCUGAGGUUAUAUUCAUUGCUUUAAAUCUUUAUUCAUAUAUUUGUUCAAGCAUUUACUUAUCAUAUAUAUAUUCAGUUAUCUGGUCAUAUCUUGCUUAUCAAAUAUAUAUCCAGUUAUCUGGUCAUUUACUUUAUAAUAUAACUUGUGUUUAUAAUAUAACUUAAUAUUCAUAUACUACAGUUGUUUAUAAAACACUAUCUAAAAGUUAACUUUGUACUCAUAUACUGAAGUAAACUUUAAGAGAAAAAGACAAAUCCAAUAUAUAAUAUUAUAAGAUAUAAUAUUAUACAGAAAAAAUCAGGUACGGUUAGUGUCGUUCCCAUCCAACAGUGCGGUACCACACUCCACCACCUUCCGAUUUGGUAUCCACGGUAGUGUCGUUCCCAUACAAUCUUCGGCACUCGCGAUUACAGGUCCGACAUCGCGGAACUCAUCUUCGGAACUGCAAUCUAGGGUCCGACAGGCACGGAACCCAUCUUUGGAACUCGCGAUGGUCGGACUCGCGGAACCCAUCUUCGGAACUGCAAUCCCAUGUCGGAACUGCAAUCUUCGGAACUCGCGAUUGCAAGUCCGACAUCGCGGAACCCAUCUUCGGAAUUGCAAUCCGCCACACGUUGAAGGAAUUUCAGCCGACGUGAAGCGAAGAUUGCAUUGUUCCGGGAAAAGAAAAUCUCCACUGAUUCUCCACCCACGGUUGUGCAUCCGAUAACCAGUGACGACGUCCUCUGUUACCGAACCGUGGUCUUCGACGGCUGACACCACCGUCCUCUGUUAUCGCGGAACCACAUCGCGGAACUGUCGGAACUGCAAUCUUCGACGGCUGACACCACCCACGGUUGUGCAUCCGAUAACCAGUGACGACGUCCUCUGUUACCGAACCGUAGAUCCAUCCGACACGGUCUCCCCACUCUGUUUUAUCCUCAUACCAGCAUGAUAUGACCGAAACAGCUUCGGCACGGUCGGCGCGACAAGUGACUGCCGGUUAAUAAUCAGUGCGCCAGGUGGUCUGCCGUUUCUUAUGGAAGGAUGAUCGGCCAGUGGUCUUCCUUGAUACUCACAGAUAGGAAUGGACUCCAAAAGCGCCAUUGAUUUCCCGAACUUGUUUGGUAAAUCCAACUCCGGCGGGACAUUCAAAAGUCUUUUCUCUGGAUCCUCUCCUUCCUUCAUCGCCUUCACCUCCAUUGCCGGGUUCUUGUACUGCCCAUAAAAUCCGGUGUAUUCAAUCGCACGCGGUGGCGUAACGGUCGGAAGGGUCGAUACCUUCGAAUCGUUGCGGGAAUUGGAUGUAACAGAUCCGAUCACCUCCGCGAUCCAUCAUAUAACACAUACCCAUCUUCGGAACUCGCGAUGGUCGGACUCGCGGAACCCAUCUACGGAACUGCAAUCCCAUGUCGGAACUGCAAUCUUCGGAACUCGCGAUUGCAAGUCCGACAUCGCGGAACCCAUCUUCGGAAUUGCAAUCCCAUGUCGGAACUGCAAUCCCAGGUCCGACAGGCACGGAACCCAUCUUCGGAACUCGCGAUUGCCGGACUCGCGGAACCCAUCUUCGGAACUGCAAUCCAGGCACGGAACCCAUCGCGGAACCACAUCGCGGAACUGUCGGAACUGCAAUCUUCGACGGCUGACACCACAAACGGACGGUCGAGAACGCUCGCUCAGAUGGACGGCCGGAUCUGCCGUCCGCACGGAGGAACGUUGGAACGCAUAGCCGUUCCAGAAAUCUACCCUAAUAUUAUAUUCCUUAAAAUUAUAUAAUAGUAUUAUAUUGCUAACAAUAUUAUACUAUUAUUAUUAUACAACUAUUUGUGUACUUAAGUGUGUGCAGGUAAUUCCGCUAUUAAUCUGCACAAAUCGAAAAGAGGCUAUUAUCCCCCCUUAUAGCCUCAGAUCACGAUUCAACAAGUGGUAUCAGAGCAAAGUACCGUUGAAAUUAGACUAACAUCUUACAACAAUAACUAUAGCACCAAAUGGUGUAUUCAACACUGGUCUUGCGUCAAACAAACCUCCCAGGUUCGAUGGAGUAAAGUAUGACUUCUGGAAGAACAAGAUGAAGUUAUAAUUGAAGUCAAUCAACAAUGGAGUAUGGAAGAUCAUAUUAGAGGAUUAUGAAAUCCCAACAAGCAAUGAAGAUACUUGGGGUGAAAUGGACAUCCUCAAGGAAAACAACAACUCAAGAGCAUUAAAUGCUCUAUGUGGAGCACUCAAUGAAUCUGAGUACAUCAGAAUUCGAUGCUUGGAUGCAGCUCACAAGGUAUGGAAAGCAUUGGAGGAUCUACAUGAAGGAACCUCCCAUGUUAAAGAAAACAAGUUGUUACAUGCUACCUCUUAGUUCGAAAGAUUCUCUAUGAGGGAAGGCGAGACUAUCGCAGAAAUGAACAUUAGACUAUCACAAAUAGUUAAUGAUCUGGCUGGACUAGGAGAUCCAGUAACUGAGAAAAAGCAAGUAAGCAAAAUUCUGAGGAGCCUUCCAAACAAGUACUACUCCAAGAGGAAUGCUAUCCAAGAGGCUCAUGAUCUCAAUAAACUUACAGUUGUGGAACUCUGUGGAAAUCUGAUGGCUUAUGAAGAAGAAAGAUUCAUCUCUAGAGCUAAAGAAGAAGAAAAGGAUAUUGCCCUUAAAAGUCAAUCUGACAAUGAAACAUCAGAAGAUGAUCUAGCAAUGAUCACCAAUCAUCUGAGAAGAUAUCUGAAAAAGAGAAAAGAGAAGAAAGACUCAAGGUCAAGUCAUCAGAAGUUCGACAGAAGAAUGAGCAAGGAGUCAAAAGAACCAAUCUGUUAUCUAUGCGACAAGUCUGGACACAUCAAACCGGAAUGUCCUCUGCUUAAGAAAGAAAAAGCAAAUCAGACACAAUGGACAGACUCCGACUCGGAUCAAGAAGAUUGUCUCAUGGCUCAUGAAAGCAACUCUGAGGAAAAACAUGUGUCAAAAUGGUUGUUCGACAGUGGAUGCACAAGGCACAUGACUGGAGAUUCAAGUCUUUUGACAGACUUGACCGACUGGCCUACUACUAAGAAGGUCAAGUUCGCCGAUAACAACGAAGGUACCAUUAUAGGUAGGGGUAAUAUAGGUAAUAUAGAUAGACCAUUUCUUAGAGAUGUUUACUUAGUUAAUGGUCUUAAACAUAAUCUUAUCAGCAUAAGCCAAUUAUGUGAUAAUGAUUGCAUAGUUAAAUUUAAAAAACAUCUAUGCUCAAUCAUUAACUCCAAGGGAGUUAUAAUUGCUAAAAGAUAUAGGAAAAGCAAUGCUUAUUCCGUAACCUUUAAUCCCUCCAAGCCAACUCAUGACUUCUGCAUGAUUGCAGCAAGUGAUGAAAAGACUUUAUGGCAUUGAAGGUUAGGUCACACCAGUUAUUCUCGAUUAUCCAAACUAUCAAAAGAAGAACUGGUGACUGGACUGCCUAAAAUAGCAUAUGAGAAAAGUAAUCUCUGUGAUGCUUGUCAAAAAGGGAAACAGCAUAAAAGCUCAUUCAAAUCCCUUACAGAUAUUACUACGUCCAGACCUUUGGAACUUCUACACAUGGACUUAUUUGGGCCAACCCAAACCCAAAGUCUUGGCGGAAAAAGGUUCACGUAUGUAAUAGUAGAUGAUUACUCAAGAUUUACUUGGGUUUUCUUCUUACGAAAUAAAAGUGACUCAUUCAACGAGUUCUCAUCAUUUUGUACACGUUUAUAAAAUGAGAAGGAUAUCCUCAUAAAAAGAAUCAUAAGUGAUCAUGGAGGGGAAUUCGAGAACUCUGAGUUUGAAUUUUUUUGCAAAACUCAUGGAAUAAAACACGAAUUUACUUUUCCCCAAGCACUCCCUCAGAAUGGAGUUGUUGAAAGGAAAAACAGAACUCUACAAGAGAUGAGUAGAUCCAUGUUACAAGAACAUGAUUCACCACAGUAUCUCUGGGCAGAAGCUGUUAACACAGUCUGUUAUAUAUUAAACAAGGUGAUUGUUAGAAAAACCUUGAACAAAACUCCAUAUGAGAUCUGGAAUGGAGGAAAACCAAAAGUUUCUUAUUUCAAGGUCUUUGGAUGCAAAUGUUAUGUUCUCCGAACAAGAGGCAACCAAGACAAAUUUGCUCAGAAAUCUGAUGAAGGUAUCCUGGUAGGAUACUCUAGAAGGAGUAAAGCCUACAAAAUUCUUCUCAAAGAAAAACAAAUAAUGAUCGAAUCAUUACACGUUGACUUUAAUGAAUCCACUCAGACAACCAUUGUAGAAGAAGAUGAAAUAGUUCCAGAACCAGAAAUCAUAAUUCCAAUUGAAGAAACUACCAAUGUCGAAAUCGAAGUCUUUGAGCCUCCAUCCAACAGGUUGCUCAGAAACCCACAUUCCACUGAUCAAAUCAUUGGUGACCAUCAAGCUGGUGUUAAAACCAGAUCAUCCAUUCAAGGAAACAGUGUUCUUGACUGUUUUGUCUCUCAAAUUGAGCCCAAGAAAGUUGAUGAAGCCCUCGAUGACAACUACUGGAUUCAAGCUAUGCAAGAAGAACUCAACCAAUUUGAGAAAAAUGAUGUAUGGGAACUAGUUCCAAAACCAAAGAUACAUCAAUAAUUGGGACAAGAUGAGUAUUCAGAAACAAGCUGGAUGAAGAUGGAACUAUAGUCAGAAACAAAGCUAGACUGGUUGCGCAAGGAUACAAUCAACAAGAAGGAAUUGAUUAUGAUGAAACCUUUGCACCAGUAGCUAGACUAGAGUCUAUCAGAAUGCUCCUAUCCUUUGCAUGCUACAAGGAUUUCAAAUUAUAUCAAAUGGAUGUAAAGAGUGCAUUCUUGAAUGGAAUAGUCAAUGAACAAGUAUAUGUUAGACAACCCCCCGGAUUCGAAGAUUACAAAAACCCUGAUCAUGCCCUUAAACUUAAGAAAGCCCUCUAUGGUCUGAAACAAGCACCCCGAGCUUGGUAUGAAAGACUAAGAAACUUUCUCAUUUCUCAAGAAUUUAGAAUGGGGAGUAUAGAUAAUACAUUGUUCAUUAAAAAUGUCAAAAGUGACAUUAUUCUAAUCCAAAUCUAUGUUGAUGACAUUAUAUUUGGAUCAACCGAUGAUACUAUAUGUAAGAAAUUUUCCAAACAAAUGGAAGACGAAUUUGAAAUGAGUAUGAUGAGAGAGUUGACUUUUUUCUUAGGUCUACAAGUCAAACAGAAGGAGAAUGAAAUAUUCCUAAGUCAAGUCAAAUAUGCUAAGGAAUUGAUAAUGAAAUUUGACUUGGCUGAAUCUAAAUCUAUGCCAACUUCGAUGAGUUCAACACUUAAAUUGGAUAAAGAUGUUGAAGGUCAAUCAGUAGACAUUAAGAAAUACAGAGGAAUGAUUGGAUCACUGCUAUACCUAACAGCCAGCAGAUCAGACAUCAUGUUUGCAGUCUGCUUAUGUGCCAGAUUCCAAUCAGACCCAAAAGAGUCACAUCUCAAAGCGGUUAAAAGAAUAAUCAGGUAUAUCAAAGGAACAAUUAUACUUGGAUUAUUCUACCCUAAGGACAACUCAUUCACACUGACAGCAUACUGUGAUGCUGACUUUGGUGGAUGUAAGACUGACAGAAAAAGCACUAGUGGAACAUGCUUUUUGUUAGGAAGCUCACUCGUAGCAUGGUCAUGUAAAAAGCAAAAUAGUAUUUCUUUAUCCACAACUGAAGCAGAAUAUAUGGCAGCAUCUAAUGCAUGCACUCAAAUUUUGUGGAUGAAACAAACAUUAUCCGACUACGAUAUAGCUUUAGAAAUAAUAGCUCUUAAAUGUGACAACAAGAGUGCAAUUUGUUUAUCAAAAAACUCUGUGUUACAUUCAAGAUCUAAACACAUUGAUGUCAGACAUCAUUUUCUUAGAGAUCAUGUAGAAAAGAAAAAUAUCUGCCUAGAAUAUAUUUCUACUGAAGAUUAAAUGGCUGACAUCUUCACUAAACCCUUAGAUCAAGAAGUUCAUUCAAAAAUCAGAAGAUCUAUGGGUAUAUGUGACUAUGUGAGCUUAGUGAAAUUUGAUUAGUUAUGAGUUAAUGCAUCUCAAGCUUUAGUCUUAAUAUUCUUCACUUGAAUAUCUUUAUACUUAUAACCUUGAUCAUGAGCAUGAAUUUACAAAUUUAAGAUUUACAUGACUAAGUAUAUACAUAUCAUCAUAUGCAUGCGUGAAGAGCUUAACUUGAAUGCAUGACUAUCGUAUAUACCAUGUUACUAUAAAUUACAUGCAUGCUUACACUUGAACGCUAUUAAUACAUUGCAUGCUACUAUAAAUAGUUGCUUACAUGGACAUGCUUAUCACUCACAUGCAUAAUCUACAAGUGAACAAACGAUGUGUAUACAAUGAAAAUUAUAAUCUUAUGAAAUGUUUAUGCCAAAAUAUGCCAUGUCUUCACUACUGUUUAAAUUGACUCAUGCAUAUGACAUGUCAUCACUUACAUGUAUGGAAAAAUUAUGAAAUUAAUCUUAUGUUGCACCUAUACUGCAUUAUGUCAUAUCUUAAAAAUAAUAUAUUGAGCAAAGUCAAUAAUAUCACAUGGUAUUGGUAACCAAAUUUUAUUUGUCAAAUCUUGGUAAGCCAAACCCUUGUCUGCAUAUUCCUGCAAUCUCGAUGCCACCAACACUUGCGACGUCCAACACCUCGCAAGGAGUGUUGGCAGAAGACCAUCCUGCGCCUGCACACGUCACUUUACUUGCAGAAGCUGAAAAUCGUCGGUUGCAGAAGCUAGGAGCAUGGAUUAUCAUGAAUUGUGUAAGGAAUGCGUUGAACACCACAAAAGGUAUGAUCUAAAAAUAUUUAUCUAGAUAGAUAGGUUAAAACAAAUCUGAAUUUAGAUCUGGUAAACUAAAUCUUUGGAUGAAUCUCAAUGAUGAGAUUCACCAAGUAGGGUCUAUGGGUUAUUAAAAAUCAAACCCUAACGCUGCUAACUUUUCAAAAGUUAGACGUGAUCAAUCAUGGUGUUGUGUAAUCAUGUGUUUUGAUUAGCUUGCUAUGCCUACUCGAUGUCAUCUGAUUUAGAUGUUCCUUUUUGGUUUGAUCGAUGGUGUUCAAACACCACUAUAACAUCUGUUAGAUAGAUGUUUCUACUUUGUUUAAGUCUGUUUUGUUUAAAGGUCUAACCAUAGACCUAAGCUUGCUUUAUUUUUAGUGAAAAACUUCAAUGAAAAAUCAAUUUCUCACUAAGUAUUAAAGACUUAAGAGUAGAUAUGAUUCUCAAAUAGUUCAUUAUCAAGAAUCAUCAAAAAUCCAACCAUUAAAUAAAUAUGAUUAACUCAAUAUCUUCAAUAUCUUUUAGAGAUUCAAAUAUUUAAGGGUUGCAUGGAUAAACUAGAAACUUCAAAGGCCUAAACAUAAAUUAUUUAUGAAGUUUCUAAAUUUAAAAUGAUUCACUAAAACUUAAGGGUCAAAAUGAUAUCUUUACAGUGAAUAUAAAUUUAUGUAAAACUUCAGGGACUUAGAAUUAAUAUUUACAUGAAGUUUUAAUCGAAAAAUUGCUUAGAAUUAUUUAAUACUUCCAAGGUUUAAAAUGAAAUUUUUUUAUGUAUUAAUCUAAGUAUUUAUCAUAAGUUCAAAGGGCUUAAAUGAAAUUUUUAAGUGAAGUUUUAUUACUACUUUAAGGACUAAAAUGAAAUUUUUAAAUCUUCUGAAACUUAGUGAAUAUUUACAUGAUUAUAUGUGUCACUAAGACAUGGAUUUUAAAACCUUUUUCUUAAAGUAAUAUAGUGAAUAUCAAUAUCAUAUCACACACAUGUCAUGAUUCACUAAAACAUGAAAAUCAACAAAACUUCAAAUGCUUAAAUAAUACUUUUUCGAAGUAAGGAAAUUUAGUGAAUAUACAUGCUUAUUUAUAUGUCACUAAUUUUAUGGAUUAUAACAUUAUAAAAUCUUUAAUCCAUAUAUGUUAAGAUCAUCUUCAUCCAUAACACACACAUGGAUUAUUAUUCAUUGCAUGAUCUUAACACAAGGCAAUUUAAAUUAUUAUAUCAUAUUUGCCUUAUAAUGUAUAUCAAAAUUGGCUUCAAUCCAAUAUUUUAUCAAUGAACAUAAAUUGCAUGUUAUUUCUCCUAUAUGAUUGACUAACACUCUUAUAAGCAAGACAUCACAUUUGGUCAACCAAACAAAUCGAAUUUGUGAUCAAAGCUGAAUAAGGUAUGAAGUUUUAUUUUCUUCACAAAUUAGAGAUGUCCUAUCAUUAAGGGGGAGAUACUUCACAGGUAUAUCUAUUUUAACUUUGUCGAUACCUUAUUGUUUUAAGGGGGAGAAAUCAUGCAUGAUCCACUGCUUUUAAAUUGAAUAUUAUGAGUCAAUAAUUCAAGGGGAGCAUGCUCAUAAGGGUAAAAUAGAAUAUUGACUAAACAUGAAUUAAAACAUAUAUGUCAUCGACAAAGGGGGAGAAUGUAGAAUCAAAAUUGUCGACAUAGGAUUAUAUUUUGAUCAUGUCAAUUUAAACCCUAAUUACACUAUUAAUCAAUAGGGGUUAAAUAAGUCAAUCGAUAUUAAACCUAACUCCAGUUAAUUAAUUAAUCAUUUAAGUUAAGAGUUUAAGUCAAAGUUAAAAGUCAAAUUGGGAUAAUUGCAUUUUUACCUUGAAUAUUAUUAUUUGGAAUAAUUGCAUUUUUACCUUGAAUAUUAUUAUUAUUAUCUUUUGACACUUUAGUUAAGGUAUAAUAUUCCAAGGGGACAAUACACUAUUCAAGUUUGAAUUUAUACAAAGAUAAGAUUCUCCAACAAACUCUAUCCAAGAAAAGCACUAUUCAAGAUAAGAUCAAAGACAAAACUUGGAUUUUUGUGAGAAAUCAAGGAGCCAUCCAUUGAAAAUCCAAUGGUGGACAUUGAGUGGUCAAGGCUAUAAAUAGAAGGGUAAUCCCCUCAUUUUCACUUACCACACUACAAGCAAACUCAAGAGCUUUCACUCCACACCUGCCCAUACGUUUUUGCCUCCAAGCUGCUCAACUNNNNNNNNNNNNNNNNNNNNNNNNNNNNNNNNNNNNNNNNNNNNNNNNNNNNNNNNNNNNNNNNNNNNNNNNNNNNNNNNNNNNNNNNNNNNNNNNNNNNCUCAUGUCAUAACUUUCCAAAGCUUCAAAAACUCUCCAACUUCUUCUUCUAAUCUUCUUGUUCAUCUCUACAAGUAAGAAGUGUUGUUUGCUUAAAUAUUCCACUCCUCUAAUCACCUCUUGUGUGUGUCCACUUUGGUUGAGAGGGUUGUCUCAAUAGUACCAAAGUGUGAGAGAAGGUUUUUGAGCUCAACCAUAAAACUCUAGUUUGGUUUUAUAGAGUUUCCGGGAAAACUCUUAGGUCGAAUCUACCUUGAAAGAUUUCUAGGUUUUUAAGAGUUCCUUGAUACUCUAAUGCACUAACUUACCCGUAAAAGUUAGAGGUUCUUAAGAGUGCCCUCAAUACUCUAAGGUGUGAGUCUACCCGUAAAAGACUGGUUCCUAAGCGAAGUAGCCUUAAAGCUUAGAGAGGUUUUUAAGAGUUCCUUGAUACUCUAAGGUACUAACUUACCCGCAAAAGUUAGAGGUUCUUAAGAGUGCCCUUGAUACUCUAAGGUGUGAGUCUACCCGUAAAAGACUAGUUCCUAAGCG